rnacentral:sRNA from 1 species
UGGGAUUAGAAGCACAGCCUGGCCAGGCACAGUGGCUCACACCUGUAGUCCCAACACUCUGGGAGGCCGAGGCAGGAGUCGCUUCAGCCCAGGAGUUCAAGACCAGCCUGGACGAUAUGGAGAGACCCUGUCUCUGCAAAAAAGUACAAAAAUUAGCCGGGCGUGGUGGCAUGCAUCUAUAGUCCCAGCUACUCAGGAGGCUGAGUUGGGAGGAUGGCUUGAGCCCAGGGAGGUUGAGGCUGCAGUGAGCUGUGAUCACAUCAGUGCACUCCAGCCUGGGCAGCAGAGCAAGAUCCUGUCUCAAAAAAAAAAAAGCGGGAGCAGCACCUUAGUGCCAAAGAAAAGUCUACCUUUCCUCCCAAAGCCUCCUGGGCCAGGCUGAGUGGCUUGGGGAAUACCACGUGACUGGCUUCCCUCCCCAGGGCAGACAACUGCUGGCAUCCCAUCCGCUCCCCUCCCCUUUGCUGCCACUGACCUCUAUCCACACGGUUUCCUUAACCAGAGCCUCUCUCCUCCUCUCCUCUGCUAGUGAAGCACUGCUUACCCUCCUAGCCUGCAGCAAGCCCUGCCCUGCCCCAUCUUUCUACCCAAUUUCGUGCUCUUCUGUUUCACACUCAUUUCUUUUUACUUGGGACUAAUUGUGGCUGUUGGGACUUUGGCUUGAUUGCUAAAAUACUUUACUUGUACUUCCUGAUGAUACAAACAAUCCUGCCCACUUCCUCUGCCAGAUAUUGCACCCACUCGUCAGGAUUUGUGCGUCCUUGACUCUGCCCCACCCAGUGCUCCCAGCAGGGGCAGGUGCAGGAAGCUCGCUAGGUGGAGAUGUUGGAAUUGGUUUUUCUUGCAGACAAAGACCUGCGGACCAAGGGCUUCAGCCUAGAGUCGUGCCGCAGCAUGGUGAACCUCAUGGAUGUAUCCUUCCAUUUGUUUUUUUCUCCUGAGUGGGAUUUUGGGUGGAGGUAUCGGUGCUGGGAGAACUGUGCCAGGACAGCGCAGAGAAUGGGACAGAGCCAUGUGGAGUGUGGACACACAGUGCCCCAUGCUCAGAUGUCUCCCUGGACAUCUUCCUGUUGGUUGGGAGGGAGAAACUGAGGCACAGACCUGUGUCAGGUGAAAGGCGGAGCAAGACCUGGGUCCCCAUUGACCCUGAGGCUGGUGCUGUUUCGGACCCCUCCCCAGCCCACUCCACUGCAGCCCAGCUCAGAGAACGAGGCGAGCCCGGCUGUGGGCUGACUGCACAUGGCUUUUGCUGCUUCUCCUCACCCAACCCCAAGUCGGCUUGCUGGCUCGGCUGUCUCCCCUUCUGCACAGUUGCCCACUCUCCCAUGCCUGGUCUAAGUGAUGGAAUUUCCUUCUUAACGGCCACCCAGCGUGAUGGCAAUGGGAAGCUGGGCCUGGUGGAGUUCAACAUCCUGUGGAACCGCAUCCGGAAUUACCUGUCCAUCUUCCGGAAGUUUGACCUGGACAAGUCGGGCAGCAUGAGUGCCUACGAGAUGCGGAUGGCCAUCGAGUCGGCAGGCUUCAAGCUCAACAAGAAGCUUUACGAGCUCAUCAUCACCCGCUACUCGGAGCCCGACCUGGCGGUCGACUUUGACAAUUUCGUGUGCUGCCUGGUGCGGCUAGAGACCAUGUUCCGAUUUUUCAAAACUCUGGACACAGAUCUGGAUGGAGUCGUGACCUUUGACUUGUUUAAGGUGGGAACCUCCCUGGGCCCAUGGUGGGGGAAGAGUUCCAGGCGGGAGGGGAGGCCCAGGCCCUUGGAGGCCCCUAUGGGAGCAACACUCCUGUUUCCCAGGGGUGGAGGAGGUAAGAAAGUAACCCCUCCAUGAGGUCCCCGAGGUGGCUCCUGAGCUGUGGAGUUGGGGGCUGGACCUGGGGUUUGGGUGGGGAAGAAGCCAGGGAGCCAUUUCUGGGGCCCUGGCCAACCUGCCUGCUCUCCCGCAGUGGUUGCAGCUGACCAUGUUUGCAUGAGGCAGGGACUCGGUCCCCCUUGCCGUGCUCCCCUCCCUCCUCGUCUGCCAAGCCACGCCUCCUACCACACCACACCAGGCCACCCCAGCUGCAAGUGCCUUCCUUGGAGCAGAGUCAGCCUCGUCCUCCUGUCCCCUCUCCUCCCAGCCACCAUCGUUCAUCUGCUCCGGGCAGAGCUGUGUGGCCCCUGCCUGCGCCAGCCAUGGGCUCGGGAUGGACUCCCUGGGCCCCUCCCAUUGCCAAGCCAGGAAGGCAGCUUUCGCUUGUUCCUGCCUCGGGACAGCCCCAGGUUUCCCCAGCAUCCUGAUGUGUCCCCUCUCCUCACUUCAGAGGCCACCCACUCAGCACCACCGGCCUGGCCUUGCCUGCAGACUAUAAACUAUAACCACUAGCUCUAUGUAGUCUGCAGUCCAGGCGUGUGGAGCCACCUCCCGGCUCUGGGAGGCCCCGGGGCUGGGAACGCCUGUGCCUUCCUGCGCCGAAGCCAACGCCCCCUCUGUCCUUCCCUGGCCCUGCUGCCGACCAGAAGCUGCCCAGCCUGUGGGCGGUCGGCCUUCCCUCCUUCGCUCCAUUUUUGUAUUAGUGAUUUUAAAGGGGACUCUUCAGGGACUUGUGUACUGGUUGUGGGGGUGCCAGAGGCACUAGGCUUGGGGUGGGGCGGUCCCGUGUUCCAUAUAGAGGAACCCCAAAUAAUAAAAGAAAAGGCCCCACAUCUGUCUGUG